rnacentral:rRNA from 1 species
UGGGGAAUAUUGGACAAUGGGGGGAACCCUGAUCCAGCCAUGCCGCGUGUGUGAAGAAUGCCUUAUGGUUGUAAAGCACUUUAAGCGAGGAGGAGGGUACUGGUAUUAAUACUACCAGGUACUGGUCGUUACUCGCCUUAUAAGCACCGUCUAACUUUGUUCCAGCAUCCGCGGUAAUACAGAGGGUGCGAGCGUUAAUCGGAUUUACUGGGCGUAAAGCGUGCGUAGGCGGCUAAUUGAGUCGGAUGUGGAAUCCCCGAGCGUAACUUGGGAAUUGCAUUCGAUACUGGUUAGCUAGAGUGUGGGAGAGGAUGGUAGAAUUCCAGGUGUAGCGGUGAAAUGCGUAGAGAUCUGGAGGAAUACCGAUGGCGAAGGCAGCCAUCUGGCCUAACACUGACGCUGAGGUACGAAAGCAUGGGGAGCAAACAGG